rnacentral:rRNA from 1 species
AACGAACGCUGGCGGCAUGCCUAACACAUGCAAGUCGAACGAGACCUUCGGGUCUAGUGGCGCACGGGUGCGUAACGCGUGGGAACCUGCCCUUAGGUUCGGAAUAACUCCCCGAAAGGGGUGCUAAUACCGGAUAAUGUCUUCGGACCAAAGAUUUAUCGCCUUUGGAUGGGCCCGCGUUGGAUUAGCUAGUUGGUAGGGUAAAAGCCUACCAAGGCGACGAUCCAUAGCUGGUCUGAGAGGAUGAUCAGCCACACUGGGACUGAGACACGGCCCAGACUCCUGCGGGGGGAAGCAGGGGGGAAUAUUGGACAAGGGGCGAAAGCCUGAUCCAGAAAGGCCGGGGGAGGGAGGAAGGCCUUAGGGUUGUAAAGCUCUUUUCCCCGGGAGGAUAAUGAAAGUACCGGGGAAAAAAGCCCCGGCUAACCCCGU